UUGUAUAAUAAAUUAUUUAUAAGUAUUCGUUAAUUAUCAUCUUAUUAUAAUUAAGUAUACUUAAUAAAAAUUUUAGGUAAAACUAAUCGAAUAUUUUUUAAAACCAUUCGGUAGCCCAUUCGAAUAGUUUUUAAAACUAUUCGAUAGUUUAUGCUAAAAAUAAACUAUUCGAUAGUUUAAAAUAUUCGAAAAUGCUCAUCACUACUUAUAUCCUUUAGUGAUGGAUGAAAUUACUAGAGAAAUAUAAGGAGAAGCGCCAUGGUGCAUGUUGUUUGCUGACGAUAUAGUGUUAAUAGGAGAAAAAAGGGAGGAAAUUAAUCAAAGGCUAGAGAUGUGGAAAGUUUUAAGUAUUUAGGGUCAGUUGUGCAAAUGAGCAGUGGUAUUGAUGAGGACGCAAGACACAGGAUUAAGUACGAGCGGUUGAAGUGGGGAGAAGCAUCUGGUGUUUUAUGCGAUAAAAGAAUUCCUAUGUGGCUGAAAGGUAAAUUCUACAAGACUGUAGUGAGACCAGCCAUGAUAUAUG